UCUGAUUGGGGUCGAGUAUGUCAUCAAAGCCCAGAACUUGGAGAGAAAGAAGGGACGAACUCGGUGGGUAAGAAGAUCCAGUCCCGACGUUGUCCCGACAGCCCAAAACUUACAAUAAUAUUUAAGGAUCCUUAGCUCCCAGAACAUAGGAAACUUUCAGUCAGAUCGCUUUCUUUUUAGAAGCCGAUGGAGGAAAACAAAAUGGUGUACAAGUGUAUUUUUAGCUCAGUCCAGAUGAUGAAUUUUUGUUUUGAGACUGCCUCGACACUGCGACUAUGAGUCUAUUUUUUUAUGCCAGAUAUCUACAUGGAAGACCUUUGCGAAUGUCAAGGAUGAAGAAAUUGGUGAUUGGCAUCAGCGUAGAGGAAUAGAUUUCAAAAUGCCUCUUCUGGGCUACCUGCAAGAAGAUGGCAAUGUUGGAGCAAAAAAGGGAUUGGGAUAUUGUCAGAACAGCUGAGGAGCACCCUGAGAUUCUAUAACUGAAAGUGAACUUUGAUGAGAAUAAGCCAAUGUGCAAAGCGUAUGAACGUGAAGAUUGGGAAAAGGCUCAGCUGCUUUAGCUGAUUUGGGUGAGGCUGAAGAGAAAGAACAUGUUGAUGAUUUGAAGUUCAAGGAUUUGGCUGCCAAAAUUGCAGGAAUAGGCCGCUGUUGCUGAAAUAGACCAGCCAAAAUGGUGGUAAAGAAGUGUUCCCAAUAUGAUUGACAUACAUUCUACUCAAGAAUUCUUGAGUGCUUUAGGUCAAGCUGGAGAGAGCUGUGCAUUAUUUUGUAAACAAUUGAUUAAGUGAUCCAGAUAGGACUUCGUUCUGUCAACAUAAGUCUUGCCGUGCAUAGAAUUUAGUUUUGAUUUUCUAUUUAGCUUAACAUCUAAAAGACUUUUCUUUAUACAAAGGACAUUAGUAAAGUAAUUGAUCACUUACAGGCUUUGAAGCCCCCUUUUGACUAGUAGGCUAGACCCUUACGGAACAUAACUCUACCUAAGGGCCUACUAGUCAAAAAAUUGAAUAGUUAGAUAUUAACACUGCUUCCUUGUAUCUUACAGGCUUUGAAGCCCCCUUUUGACUAGUUGCUAAGCUGUGACAGUAACAUACAAGGAAGCAGUGUUAAUAUCUAACUAUUCAGAAAAAUUUUCACAAUUAUAUGUUUGUUGCUCACAUUACACUGCUCUUUAAAGCCAAUGGUUGAGACAUCACAUUUCCAGAUAUUGAUUACAAUUUAAGGUUUUUUAUCAGUAAAUACCUUUUACAAACAAUAAUACCCUUCAGAAAACAUAAGACACUUGGAUGUCCAACAAAAAAUUGAAGUCACCAAGUAAUGCUCGUGUUUGGCGCAAAAACCAGUUGGCUUGCAAACUGUCCCUUUUGAGCGUGUGCGCAGGCGUGCCAGCACCGUGGGGUGCAGUCGUCGGGGUAGUCCCUUGACCUGACUUC